GGAUGCCAAUUCAGGGGUUUAUAUGCACUUUGUUGGACUAUUUUGGUGGACAUGGGAAAAUGAGACAAUGAAAUAGUGUGGUGGUUGCCACUUUUAGCUAGGCUUCUGAUAUGAGGAGGGUCAGACUUGCCUUGCAACCAAAUUUCCCAGAGUUAAUCUCAGUUUACCCAGGCCUUUGUCCUUUGAAAUGAUCAGGCCUCCAUUUUUAUCCAGGCCCUUUGACUUUAGGGAAACAGACUUCCCCUCCCUCCCCACCAGCUUCCCCAGCAUGCUUCAGUGAGCCCCUUUCUAUUGUACUGUAUUCUAAUUUUCAUAAGGCUUAUCUUGGUUUAGUCAGGUCCCAAUCCUGGCUGCCUAUCUCAUAGUCUACCUCUUGGCCUCAAAAGCACCGAACUCUCUUCCAAGUGGCUGUUCCAUUUUGUAUUCCCACAAGCAAUAAAUGAGUGCUGUAGCUGGGUGUGGUAGCCCAUGCCCAUAAUCCCAGCCCUCUGGGAGAGACUGAGACAGGCAGAAGGAUCACAGGUUUGAGCCUAACCUGGUCAAUUUACAACUUAGCAAACUCUGUCUCAAAGUAAAAAAAAAAAAAAAGCAUUUGAGAUGUAGCUCCAUACGAAGGCCCUGGGUUCAAUCUCCAGAAGCACCACCACCGUCACACAAAAAACUAAAAAAUAAAUUAGGGUAAGUGUUGGGUGAAAAGAGCUGAAAACCAGGACCAGCCCAGGACCAUAACAAGCCUUGAUUAUGGGGAGGACCUGCCAGGCUGUCUCUGAACAAAGGAGAGAAAGCAAUAUGGCCAAAACAGGGAGCAUUUCUUAUUAGGGCUGUGGUGAGGCUGAUAGGAGCUGGGGUGGGACUGAGUGAUGUAGUGGCUAGGGAUUGGGGGAUCUUGUGACAUCACUAGGGGGGGCUUGUGUCAUCACUAGUUGCCAGGAGGAAGCGAAUAUCAGGUUACUGGCUUGGUGGGAGGAGGCAUGAUGGGAAGAAGAAAGCUGUCCUUUAGUUCAAGAAGCCAUAUUUUUAGAUUUCAGUCGGCCUUCAAACACAGCCCUGGAUGCACCUGUCAGCCUAGCACAGGUGGUGCACCCUAUGCCCGAGGUGAUAGAUCUGUUGCCAGAUGUGGACAUCUGGGCACUUCUGGAUACCCACUUACCUUUGCACAGGACAUCCCCCAAGCCUGCUGCCUUGUCAGGAGGCUGCUCGAGGAAGAUAUAUUCUGAUGAGAAAUCUCGGCCCCCAAAUUCAUUUUUCAAAGAAGCCAAGCAGAUCUGGUGAUUUAUUCUCUGUCAUUCUGAUCCCAGCA
rnacentral:lncRNA from 1 species